rnacentral:rRNA from 1 species
AGGAUGAACGCUGGCGGCGUGCUUAACACAUGCAAGUCGAACGAUGAAGGCUGGAGCUUGCUCUGGCUGGAUUAGUGGCGAACGGGUGAGUAACACGUGAGUAACCUGCCCCAGACUCUGGGAUAAGCGCUGGAAACGGCGUCUAAUACCGGAUACGAGCUUCCACCGCAUGGUGAGGAGCUGGAAAGAAUUUCGGUCUGGGAUGGACUCGCGGCCUAUCAGCUUGUUGGUGAGGUAAUGGCUCACCAAGGCGACGACGGGUAGCCGGCCUGAGAGGGUGACCGGCCACACGUGGGACUGAGACACGGCCAGACUCCGUACGGGAGGCAGCAGUGGGGGAAUA